AAAGGAAGGAGGCCCCUAGUCCAAGUAUAAUAGCAUAGGAGGUGCAAGGGUGAAGAUACUAGAGUGGUUUGGCACUCCUGGUUCGGUGAUUCAUGCCAUAUCGGAUGAGAAAGAUAUGCGGAAGAUGGGGGCCGAGGAAAAGCCUCGUUUUGGUCCUGUAGAAUGAAUGUGAAAAGCAGAAUCCUCCCGAAUUUAGAUAGGUGAAAGAUCCUGACUCAAAUUACAAACCUUGAACCUCUUUGCGAAUUCACAACUGAACCUUGAUGGGAAAUCAUAUUCUCGUCUCUUAGAAAGAGCGUCCAAACAAUCUAACCAGACAUGCACAUGUAGCUUGACCGUUUUACUCGUCAUUGAAACACAAGCUGGAGACGCAUCGGCCUAUAUUCCCAAAUCUGUUUGGAAACAGAGCUCUUUCAACUCUUCUAUUAAUGGUAUAAAAUUGGACGAACGAACUAAUAUUUUUUGAGUUUUGCUAAUGAAUGUUACCUUUUCGAAAUAAUCUUAGUCACUUAAUUAGACAGUUCCAAUACGUACCUAACACAAGAUAUGUACGAGAAACUUAUUGACUUUUUUGUCCAUAUUAAUCGGACCAAAAUUGAUAUUAAAUACUGCCACUUUUGAGAAGUUUCCUUUUUUUUUUUUGUAUUAUUUUAUAUUCAAUGUGUUUACAUUAAGCCACGUAGCGAUUAUUCAAUUAUUGUUAGUGGUUGAUAAAGUUAUCAAAGAUUGCUCCAAAGACUGGAUCAAAACUUAUCUAAUCAUGCAAUAACUGAAAAAGACAUCUACACUCUAGUAUUUGCAAACUUAUUUAGCCUACAAACUACAUACAUUACUUGUAAUAAUUAAUUAGUUCAAGUUUUUCAAUGUUUUUUCCAAGAGUCGUAAAUAACUAUUGCUUUUAGUUUUGGUUAAAUAAAUAUUGUCUUCCCGAUUUCAUACCAUAUCGUGUAUUAAGAGGCGGGUUCACGAUUUAAGUUUUAUGGGUUCAAUCAUUAAGAUUUCUUAGUAUUGAGCUUGUUAUAUUUUUAAAAUUAUGGGUUCAAACUAUCUAUUUAUUAGAAUUUUUUGUAAAUUUUCACAUAAAUAUUUUGUGCUAUUGUAUUCUUGAGAAUUUUAUGCAUAUUCUAGCAAUUUACCAUUAGGGACGAAGCUACAUUGUCUUAAGGGUGGUCAGUUGAUCACCCCUUGUUGAAAAUUACACUGUGUAUUGAAUA